AUGUGAGAGAAGAUGAUGGAGUUUAUUUCUGUGCAGUGGGUGUUGGAGGACAGUCAGUCAGCUAUUACUCCCUCUACACACAGACUCAGCUACAGGUGAAUGCCACCUACAGGACCACAUCAACAGCACCAACCCUAAUCGAAUCUGAUGAAAAAUUCAGUUCUCCUGUCCUCAUUUCUAUAAGUGUCUGUGUGGUUCUGCUGCUGAUUGGAGGAUUAGCACUGAUUCUCUGUAUUGUGAUACACAAAAAGAGACAAG